CAGGAACGGUCACUGCCAAACGUAUUUUUCACUAGCCGCCGCCAUUGCGACGUUUUGCUUUCAUUGUUUCCUAACCUCAACACUUUUAAUUCAAAGAUGUCAGGACCAACUGAUGAUAAAUCAGCGAAGUCAUUUCGAUGAAUCAAUGGACGAAAGAGAAUGACCUCUCUCAGUGGAUUUACGAAAGAAGGAAACCCUGAUGAAGACCAAAACACUUUUCUUAAACGAAUGAGGUUGGAGUGGAGCAACUUAGGUGAGGAGGGCAGGAGAAGUUUCCAAAGGAAAGCUUUCCUACAAAAGCAGCAGGUUCCUGAAGAAGAAAAGGCUGCCUACCUGCGCAGAGUAUGCAGUGAAUUACAAAACCUGGCUGAUUUCAUGAAGCAACUGGGGUGGACCUUUUACUUUAAAAUAUCAGCAGGAAGCCUAAUUGCAGAAUCAUCAUCUGCCCCAGCUGCAACAACCAUGACAACUGCCCCAGCUGCGACAACUACCACAACCACUACAACAGAUCCCAAACAAACCUAUGAAUUUAAGCGAAACCUGCGCCGGCAGGUUCAAAGACUUUUUAAUGGAUUGUAUUGUAAAACCAUGGGAAAUAAAGAAAAUUUCCCAUAUAAACGGCAGAGAUAUCAACCCAGAGGUGGAUGUCCUUGGUAUGCCACAUGGCAUUCCUUUUAAGGAACCCUUUAGUUAUGGGCUGUCUUCACUGCAGGCAAUGGUAGACAAUGGCAGCCAGACAAAAUGGUAAUUCUUCAUCAAAGGACAUCAGAACCAGUCAUGCCAGCAACAAGUGAAAACACAAGUGGUAAUGUCAGAGGUUUGUGGGAUGAAUUCACCGCUGGUAUAUUUAGCCAGCCUGAAGGAGGAGACCACGGGCUUGCCCUGUCCCCAGAUCAGGGUGGAGAUACUGCUGUCCAUUCAAAAGAGAACACAGCAAAAGGCAAUUAAGGAUUUAGAAUCGACACAGUUGAUUUUCAACAUUUGAGGAGUGUUGCAAUUCGACUUUUUUGUUGUCUGUUUUUAAAAUAAAAUCAGUUUACAAGCUGUU